rnacentral:rRNA from 1 species
GACUCCACGAAGCUGGAUUCGCUAGUAAUCGCGCAUCAGCCACGGCGCGGUGAAUACGUUCCCGGGCCUUGUACACACCGCCCGUCAAGCCAUGGGAGCCGGGGGUACCUGAAGUGCGUAACCGCGAGGAGCGCCCUAGGGUAAAACUGGUGACUGGGGCUAAGUCGUAACAAGGUAUC